GGCGACAUGGCCAAGCGGUAAGGCAGGAGACUGCAAAUCUUCCAUCCCCAGUUCAAAUCUGGGUGUCGCCU
rnacentral:tRNA from 3 species